rnacentral:rRNA from 1 species
AUGUCGGACGCGCCGGCGAGCCCGCCGGGCGGCGGAGGAGGCGGCGACGGCGGCGGCUUCGGCGGCGUCAGGGAGCAGGACAGGUUCCUGCACAUCGCCAACAUCAGCAGCAUCAUGAAGAAGGCCAUCCUGGCCAACGACAAGAUCGCCAAGGAUGCCAAGGAGACCUUGCGGGAGGCGAGCGACAAGUGCCAGAGGGAGAAGCUCAAGACCAUUAACAUCGACGAGCUGCUCUGGGCGAUGGCCACGCUAGGCUUUCAAGAGCACAUUGAGCCCCUCAAGGUUUAUCUACAGAAGUACAGAGAGGUGCAUGCCCAUUUAGCCAUGUGGGAUUUUUUUAUCUGA